GACGAACGCUGGCGGCGUGCCUAAUACAUGCAAGUCGAACGCAGUGGGGACGGGUGAGUAACCCGUGGGUAACCUCCCAUCAGAGGGGAUACACCUUGGAAACAGGUGCUAAACCGAUCCUGAUGGAUGAACCCGCGGUGCAUUAGCGAGUUGGUGAGGUAACGGCUCACCAAGGCCACGAUGCAUAGCUGGCCUGAGAGGGUGAUCUGCCACACUGGGACUGAGACACGGCCCAGACUCCUACGGGAGGCAGCAGUAGGGAAUAUUCGACAAUGGACGAAAGUCUGACCGAGCAACGCCGCGUGAGUGAAGAAGGUUUUCGGAUCGUAAAGCUCUGUUGUUAGAGAAGCGGUAUCUAACCAGAAAGCCACGGCUAACUACGUGCCAGCAGCCGCGGUAAUUC
rnacentral:rRNA from 1 species